AGCGCAGGCGGGAAACUAAGCGGAUCUUAAAAGUGCGGGGCUCAACCCCGUGAUGGGGUCCGAACUGGUUUUCUUGAGUGCAGGAGAGGAAAGCGGAAUUCCCAGUGUAGCGGUGAAAUGCGUAGAUAUUGGGAAGAACACCAGUGGCGAAGGCGGCUUUCUGGACUGUAACUGACGAUGAGGCUCGAAAGCUAGGGUAGCGAAG
rnacentral:rRNA from 1 species